rnacentral:ribozyme from 1 species
AAAAAAAAAAAAAAAAAAAAAAAAAAAAAAAAAAAAAAAAAAUUG